rnacentral:lncRNA from 1 species
UCGCCGUCGUCUUUGUAUAUUCAGUUCCCCCCCUCUGCCUCUCUCUCUGUUAUAUUCAGUUAAACAUUGAUCUGUUUCAUGUAUUUUCAGUUAAUAUGUGUUGUGUUUCACGCAAAUUUAAUCAAAUUCAGUUAAACAGUGCUCAUGUAUUUCUGUUUUAUUUGCUAAUGACUAAGAUGUACUAACUUAAAUUAGUUUGAGUUAAAAUUGCAUCUCAGUACUGCUCAUGUAACCCCAUUUGUGUUCAUAUACAAUAAAUAUACUUACAUCUUGUGAGAAUUUAGUUUCUAGUUCUAUUUUGUGUAGUCCUGCAAAAUGCAGUUAGAAUCUGUCAUAAUUGAGGAGAAACACUCCAUAACUGAGCAUGCGCUCUUAACAUAUUAGUUUUUCUGAAAAUAUGAACAAUGAUAUGAUAUGCUUCUUUAAAAUUUUGGUUUGAACCGAAGAUAUAGAUACAUGGGAAACUUUAGUAGAAAGUCCAAUGCUUUAGCUUUGUUGCAUGCAUAUGCUUGCUGGUGUGGGUGUCAUGGAUUUGUGAUUUUUUUAUUCCUGUUCAUGAUAUGAUAUGCCAAUUAUUGCUCCUUUUCAGAUUGAAAAUUGAUAUGCACUUCUAUGUAUGUCAGACUAAUUCCAGGGUAUUCCGGACAGACCAACCUGAUUAUUGCAUCAUUAAUCAGGGCGAAAUUCCGGACGAAUUCAGACAUGAGAGCAUGAGAGCCUGAAUUCAUCAUUAAAAGUCUUGUUCGUAGGCCGCCCCCUGCAUUUCGCCCAUGAUGAACCAUUAGUUAUUUACGUACUUAUGUCUGGUUUGCCUGCUCCCCUGCAUCCUUCAUCACCCUUCUUGGUUUGUAGCAGCUUCUAUGUCACUCCUUGGAAUGUAACAGAUUUUAUUCCAGACUCAUAAACUAAAUUGGUGCAUUCAGUUUGUAGUAUUUUCUUUAUAAAGUUUCAUCUUCUAUUUGUCAUCUUGGCUUGAUCAAAUAAACAGGGAAGACAACAGUGUUUAUUUGAUGUGAUAGCUCUUACAACCUGUAUUAAGUGUAUCUUUCUAUUAGAAUCGAUUGAACUGGAACUUGAAUUGUUACUGCAUCCAUAUGUGUGCCUUUGCUGUCAUUUACUCUGUACAAUUAUCUUUCUAGUUGAAUCAAACUGGAACUUGAAUUGUUGUUGCAUCUCUCACGUGUGCUUCUCUGUCAUUUACUGUGUACAAUUAUUGGCUGUGAACUGAUCCAAUUAUUUCUGGAGGCCUACGCUGUACAAUUAUUGGCUGUGAACCGAUCCAAUUAUUUAUUUGUGUACUUGUGUGUGGUUUGCUAUAG